CUCUCUUUAUGAGCCAUAACUUCUAAGAAAACUAACUGAUCAAUUGGUUCUUCAAUGAAAUAUAAGCUGAUACGCUUGCCUUCUGAGCUGU
rnacentral:snoRNA from 1 species